GUCGAACGAGGCUCUUAUUUCGGUAAGGGCUUAGUGGCAAACGGGUGAGUAACGCGUAGGCAACCUGCCUCCAAGAUGGGGACAACACUCCGAAAGGGGUGCUAAUACCGAAUGUUGUAAUGCUGCUGCAUGGCAGUAUUACCAAAGGUGGCUUUUAGCUAUCGCUUGGAGAUGGGCCUGCGUCUGAUUAGCUGGUUGGUGACGGUAACGGCGCACCAAGGCGACGAUCAGUAGCCGGUCUGAGAGGAUGAACGGCCACAUUGGGACUGAGACACGGCCCAGACUCCUACGGGAGGCAGCAGUGGGGAAUCUUCCGCAAUGGGCGAAAGCCUGACGGAGCAACGCCGCGUGAACGAGGAAGGUCUUCGGAUCGUAAAGUUCUGUUGCAGGGGACGAACGGCACUAUAGCCAAUAAGUAUAGUGAAUGACGGUACCCUGUUAGAAAGCCACGGCUAACUACGUGCCAGCAGCC
rnacentral:rRNA from 1 species